AUCUGCUUUCAAUAGAUAUGGUUAUGCAUCACCCUGCAGCUCCCAAACAGUCCUUGUAACCCCUUCGCACGCUCUGCCAGAUCCCCAAGUGCCAUCCUGUGUUUCUGAAGGACUGGGAGGAGAAUAAUGAAGUAAACAAAAAGAGUUAAGCAUGGUUGAAGGCCAGCUUGCUGCCCAGAUGACUCCUUUCCUCAUUGACGUCAUUCAGAAGGAGCUGGUUCCUGCAAUCAGACUUCCUUGAUGUCCUUCUCUCAUGGACAGAAUCAAAGAGCUCCAUUUGUGAAAGGCUGACAAGCCCUGGCAUACUUGGAGAGACCAAACAAAGCAUUCAAAGCAGCUGAGGGAUAUUUCAGGAGGAAGGACUCGGCUGGCUGACUUGGCAGAGGACCUCGUUGCCCCUCACCUAUCUCCCACCAACAGGGAGGAGUAAGUGUUGGGUGUCAGGCUCUAGACUUCACUUUUAAAAUGCAGGAAGUCUUGAAAGGACACAAUAAAUCCCCCCCAUGUAAACUGUAAUGUGCUACCUAACAACCCUGUCUUUUGUGUUCAUGACAAUCUUUUCUUUCUUUGCAUGUGUGAGGAACAUAUGGGUUCACAUUUAUGCAGAUAUGCUUUGAUGAAUUAUUGUUAGUGCAUAAAAUGCAACCCUCAUUUAAAUUUCCAUUUUGUUUGGUACAGUUUUUGCUUGUUGUGUACAUUAUUGGGUAGAAUAUCUUUGUUGGUUCAUUUACAAUGGUAAGUGCUCUUCUUUCUGGGGCCACCCCCAAUGCUUUUACAUUCUGAUAGGUUCAGUCUUGCUGCUGGCACAGAUCUCUGUGACUUCAUGUCCAAAAAUGUAUGCCCUGUUAGGCAUGCUGAAAAGAUGUUUCAUUACUGCUACAGAAUAGAGCACACUCAACUUAUCUCUUAUUGAAACAAAAAGGUACGUCUGAAGUGAAUUUCUCCCCCUCUUUUGCCUUUCAGCAGCUCUCUCUCUUUGUGAAUGUGUGUUUGUGAUUAUAUCUACCCAUAUCAGCUACCUUAGAACUGUACACUGUUUUCAGUGCAUAAAACUGCUGUGAAAAAACUGCUGCACACAGAGGUUUGCAGCUCAGAGAUGAGAAACUGAGGCACAGAAAAGCUGGGAACUAGAUUUUCUCCCUUUUGAGACAAAUAUAUUCUGGAUGGGUAACUGAGAUAUCUGAAUGAGGCACUCGAACAGCUACUGCAAAGUAAUUUUUAUAGGAUAUCUUGAACCAAGCACAGCAAACAGUGAAUUGAGCUGUCCUGUUUGUUGC